GACGGCCGGGCCGAGCAGCCGUGCGCCGUUGAAGGUGGCGCUGUUCAGCGCGAUCGCGUUCGGCAGGUCGCGCCUGCCGACCAUCUC
rnacentral:tRNA from 1 species